AUUGAACGCUGGCGGCAGGCCUAACACAUGCAAGUCGAACGAGUGGCGGACGGGUUAGUAAUGUCUGGGAAACUGCCCGAUGGAGGGGGAUAACUACUGGAAACGGUAGCUAAUACCGCAUACCAUCGGAUGUGCCCAGAUGGGCGUAGCUUGUAGGUGAGGUAACGGCUCACCUAGGCGACGUCCCCGAGCUGGUCUGAGAGGAUGACCAGGCACACUGGGACUGAGAAACGGUCCAGACUCCUAGGGGAGGCAGCAGUGGGGAUUAGUGCACAAUGGGCGGAAGUCGGAUGCAGCCAUGCCGCGUGUAUGAAGAAGGACGUCAGGUUGUAAAGUACUUGCAGCGGGGAGGCGUUACCCGAAGAAGAAGCACCGACUAACUCCGUGCCAGCAGCCGCGGUAAUUC
rnacentral:rRNA from 1 species